rnacentral:rRNA from 1 species
UACGUAGGGGGCUAGCGUUGUCCGGAAUCAUUGGGCGUAAAGCGCGUGUAGGCGGCCAGACAGGUCCGUUGUGAAAACUCGAGGCUCAACCUCGAGACGCCGAUGGAAACCGUUUGGCUAGAGUCCGGAAGAGGAGAGUGGAAUUCCUGGUGUAGCGGUGAAAUGCGCAGAUAUCAGGAAGAACACCCGUGGCUAAGGCGGCUCUCUAGUACGGUACUGACGCUGAGACGCGAAAGCGUGGGGAGCGAACAGG